GACUCUCGACAACGGAUAUCUCGGCUCUCGCAUCGAUGAAGAACGUAGUGAAAUGCGAUACUUGGUGUGAAUUGCAGAAUCCCGUGAACCAUCGAGUAUUUGAACGCAAGUUGCGCCCGAAGCCUUUCUGGACGAGGGCACGUCUUCCUGGGCGUCACGC
rnacentral:rRNA from 1 species